UACGGAGGGUGCAAGCGUUGUUCGGAAUUACUGGGCGUAAAGCGCGCGUAGGCGGUUUUGUAAGUCAGAUGUGAAAGCCCAUGGCUCAACCAUGGACGUGCAUUUGAUACUGCAAGACUUGAGUAUUGGAGGGGGUGGUGGAAUUCCCGGUGUAGAGGUGAAAUUCGUAGAUAUCGGGAGGAAUACCGGUGGCGAAGGCGACCACCUGGCCAAAUACUGACGCUGGAGAC
rnacentral:rRNA from 1 species